CCGCCAGUCUCCCGGGAGAGGGGCUCCGCUUUGUCGCGCUCCGCCGCGAGCGCGCGGAAGGCCCAGGAGGCGCGCGCCGGCGCGCCGGCCUCCCCCGACGGGGCCAUUGUCUUAGCCCCGCACUUGAGGAGUAUUUGGGGAAAACUGGAGGAAUAUAUUACCGACUCGGUGCGCGGAACAAAGGGGCGCGUUUCCGCAGGUCACGCUGAAGUGGCCCCGAGGCAGACCACUAGAGCCCCGGCCCCUGCAAAACUGUUCUCCCGGGCCGAAGGCACUUUGCGGGGAUUUUCCUUUUAAGAGUAGGGGACGGAGGCCUGGCUCCCCGGCCUCACUGAUCUGGACGCUCCCGACUUCGCCCCAGCACUUGCUGCGAAUCGGUUGCUGGAGCCCUUUCAGAAUGAAAUAUUAAGUAAUAACACCCGUGGUUCCAGUCGCACGCAAUCUGCUGGAAAGGGAGCAGAAUCGAACUGCUCCCGGGAGCGCUAGGCUCCGCCAGCGGGGAGAAAGGACCUUUACAUAACAAGGGAAACGCUGAAGAAAAGCUAAUUGGAUUAAGUUCUCUGGAAGGGAGGAUGGCGAUCUGGGGAGGUCUCCGAUUUUCGAAAACAGGGAGGGGAGCGGAUGUGGAAAAGAUUGCUGUUUCAGAACCAGUUUGGGGUGUCUGCAGUUGGAGUAAAAGUGACCAGGUGCCUCCGCGACCACCAGCUACAUCGAAGACAGAAAACAGAACGUUUCCACAACCCCACAGCUCUACCCCAGAACGCACAAGAAGUUCCAGUCGUGUGGACAGGGCAGUUAAAACCCCCCAACUGGGUCUUGGCGGGUGUGGGGUGCCGGGAGACCCCAAGUCCCUACGUGAGCCCCUUGUGAAUAUUUGACCACAAACAAUGCAGACAUAGGUUUAA